AUAGCCAAGUGGUAAGGCACGGCUCUGCAAAAGCUUGAUCGUCGGUUCAAAUCCGUCU
rnacentral:tRNA from 1 species